AAACCAGCACCUCAAGUGGUCAGGAGGAUUAUUGGGCCUAAAGCAUCCGUAGCCUGCUGCAUAAGUUUUCGGUUAAAUCCAUACGCUCAACGUAUGGGCUGCCGGGAAUACUGUGCAGCUAGGGAGUGGGAGAGGUAGACGGUACUCGGUAGGAAGGUGUAAAAUCCUUUGAUCUAUUGAUGACCACCUGUGGCGAAGGCGGUCUACCAGAACACGCUCGACGGUGAGGGAUGAAAGCUGGGGGAGCAAACCGGAUUAGAAACCCUAGUAGUCC
rnacentral:rRNA from 1 species